UGUGACUAUUCCAGCAGGAUCGUGAAGUAAAUUUAUAAUUUAAUUUACUGAAAUACAGUGUAGGAUUUGCCCUGCUAAUACAGGGGUUUUCCAGCUGUUCUACAACCACUAAAGAUUCUGCUUCCAAGAAAGUUAACAGAAAAGGUAGAUGUGGGAGAAAAGACAUGGCUACAGGUCCAGCAACACAUAUCACGUAAUAGAAAAAAAACAGCACACUGUUUAUUUACAAUUUCCAUAAAAUACAGAUGCAAUUACUAACUCCACCAAGGGCAGCAAUAGUGUCAAUUGACGGACGGGUCACUGAACUAAUCUUCUCUGAAAAUCACCUCUGGCUGCAAGCUGUUAGAGUAACAGAUGAAAUCUCUCAAGCCGUAGAACAAACUCGUUAACAGCAACCAGUGAGAUUGGCCUGCUAAACAUUGCUCCUUCUAUGAAAUCUUACAACUUUUUAAACUAAAAGUCUCGCAGAGCUGUCACACUGAAAACGUUGGCUGCAAAGUACCAAAUACUUUAUAGAAUAUCACAUUAAAGCAACUGAAAAUAAAAACAGCAAUCAUUUCAGAAAGGUAUGGAGAGCAGUUUCAGUAGAACAAAAUGCAGAAUCAAUACAACACUUUGCAAUCAGUACUCAGAAAUAAAACAUGUCAAGUAAGAAAGACUGUAUAAAAAAAAAAAAAAAAAAAAAGCACGGAAGCUAAUCUCUUCUGUGGACAUGUGAUACAAUAUUAGGAGCAUAUUUUUUCCUAAUUUCUCUGGCUCAGGUUUCGUAAUGUAAUCAGUGAAAUGUCCUUCAGAGUUUUGAACAGUGAUGAAUUACAGUCAAUAUUUUUCAUCUGGCUCAUUCGGAACUAUCAUUCCAACAACAGUGUAGAAACACAAG